GUAAGCUACUAAGAGCGAAUGGUGGAUGCCUUGACUGGUAAAGGCGAUGAAGGACGUACUAGACUGCGAUAAGCUACGGGGAGCUGUCAAGAAGCUUUGAUCCGUAGAUUUCCGAAUGGGGCAACCCAAUGUAUAGAGAUAUACAUUACCUAUAUAGGAGCGAACGAGGGGAAUUGAAACAUCUUAGUACCCUCAGGAAAAGAAAUCAAUAGAGAUUGCGUCAGUAGCGGCGAGCGAAAGCGCAAGAGGGCAAACCCAGUGCUUGCACUGGGGGUUGUAGGACUGCAAUGUGCAAGAGGUGAGUUUAGCAGAACAUUCUGGAAAGUAUAGCCAUAGAGGGUGAUAGUCCCGUAUGCGAAAAACAAACCUUAGCUAGCAGUAUCCUGAGUAGGGCGGGACACGAGAAAUCCUGUCUGAAGCUGGGUCGACCACGAUCCAACCCUAAAUACUAAUACCAGAUCGAUAGUGCACAAGUACCGUGAGGGAAAGGUGAAAAGAACUGAGGUGAUCAGAGUGAAAUAGAACCUGAAACCAUUUGCUUACAAUCAUUCAGAGCCCUAUGUAGCAAUACAGGGUGAUGGACUGCCUUUUGCAUAAUGAGCCUGCGAGUUGUGGUGUCUGGCAAGGUUAAGCAAACGCGAAGCCGUAGCGAAAGCGAGUCUGAAUAGGGCGCUUAGUCAGAUGCUGCAGACCCGAAACGAAGUGAUCUAUCCAUGAGCAAGUUGAAGCUAGUGUAAGAACUAGUGGAGGACUGAACCCAUAGGCGUUGAAAAGCCCCGGGAUGACUUGUGGAUAGGGGUGAAAGGCCAAUCAAACUUCGUGAUAGCUGGUUCUCUCCGAAAUAUAUUUAGGUAUAGCGUUGUGUCGUAAUAUAAGGGGGUAGAGCACUGAAUGGGCUAGGGCAUACACCAAUGUACCAAACCCUAUCAAACUCCGAAUACCUUAUAUGUAAUCACAGCAGUCAGGCGGCGAGUGAUAAAAUCCGUCGUCAAGAGGGAAACAACCCAGACUACCAGCUAAGGUCCCUAAAUCUUACUUAAGUGGAAAACGAUGUGAAGUUACUUAAACAACCAGGAGGUUGGCUUAGAAGCAGCCAUCCUUUAAAGAAAGCGUAAUAGCUCACUGGUCUAGUGAUUUUGCGCGGAAAAUAUAACGGGGCUAAAGUAAGUACCGAAGCUGUAGACUUGCGCACAACUUAGAUUAUUUAAGUUUAGAAUAUGAGAAACUAAGUUAUAUGUUUAGUUAUAUUUUUACUGAUUUUUAUAGAGUAAAGAUAGAAAUAAAACUUAGUAAAAUCAGUAAAAAUAUUCUUAGAUUAAAGUUAAGUAGUUUAAGUUGUGUGCAAGUGGUAGGAGAGCGUUCUAUUUGCGUCGAAGGUAUACCGGUAAGGAGUGCUGGAGCGAAUAGAAGUGAGCAUGCAGGCAUGAGUAGCGAUAAUUAAUGUGAGAAUCAUUAACGCCGUAAACCCAAGGUUUCCUACGCGAUGCUCGUCAUCGUAGGGUUAGUCGGGUCCUAAGUCGAGUCCGAAAGGGGUAGACGAUGGCAAAUUGGUUAAUAUUCCAAUACCAACAUUAGUGUGCGAUGGAAGGACGCUUAGGGCUAAGGGGGCUAGCGGAUGGAAGUGCUAGUCUAAGGUCGUAGGAGGUUAUACAGGCAAAUCCGUAUAACAAUACUCCGAGAACUGAAAGGCUUUUUGAAGUCUUCGGAUGGAUAGAAGAACCCCUGAUGCCGUCGAGCCAAGAAAAGUUUCUAAGUUUAGCUAAUGUUGCCCGUACCGUAAACCGACACAGGUGGGUGGGAUGAGUAUUCUAAGGCGCGUGGAAGAACUCUCUUUAAGGAACUCUGCAAAAUAGCACCGUAUCUUCGGUAUAAGGUGUGGUUCGCUUCGUAUUAGGAUUUACUCCGAAAGCGAAGAAACUUACAACAAAGAGUCCCUCCCGACUGUUUACCAAAAACACAGCACUCUGCUAACUCGUAAGAGGAUGUAUAGGGUGUGACGCCUGCCCGGUGCUCGAAGGUUAAUUGAUGGGGUUAGCAUUAGCGAAGCUCUUGAUCGAAGCCCGAGUAAACGGCGGCCGUAACUAUAACGGUCCUAAGGUAGCGAAAUUCCUUGUCGGUUAAAUACCGACCUGCAUGAAUGGCGUAACGAGAUGGGAGCUGUCUCAAAGAGGGAUCCAGUGAAAUUGUAGUGGAGGUGAAAAUUCCUCCUACCCGCGGCAAGACGGAAAGACCCCGUGGACCUUUACUACAGCUUGACACUGCUAUUUGGAUAAGAAUGUGCAGGAUAGGUGGGAGGCUUUGAGUAUAUGACGCCAGUUGUAUAUGAGCCAUUGUUGAGAUACCACUCUUUCUUAUUUGGGUAGCUAACCAGCUUGAGUUAUCCUCAAGUGGGACAAUGUCUGGUGGGUAGUUUGACUGGGGCGGUCGCCUCCCAAAUAAUAACGGAGGCUUACAAAGGUUGGCUCAGAACGGUUGGAAAUCGUUCGUAGAGUAUAAAGGUAUAAGCCAGCUUAACUGCAAGACAUACAAGUCAAGCAGAGACGAAAGUCGGUCUUAGUGAUCCGGUGGUUCUGUGUGGAAGGGCCAUCGCUCAAAGGAUAAAAGGUACCCCGGGGAUAACAGGCUGAUCUCCCCCAAGAGCUCACAUCGACGGGGAGGUUUGGCACCUCGAUGUCGGCUCAUCGCAUCCUGGGGCUGGAGCAGGUCCCAAGGGUAUGGCUGUUCGCCAUUUAAAGCGGUACGCGAGCUGGGUUCAGAACGUCGUGAGACAGUUCGGUCCCUAUCUGCCGUGGGCGUAAGAAGAUUGAAGAGAUUUGACCCUAGUACGAGAGGACCGGGUUGAACAAACCACUGGUGUAGCUGUUGUUCUGCCAAGAGCAUCGCAGCGUAG
rnacentral:rRNA from 1 species